GUGCGGAAGGGAUAAGUGCUGAAAGCAUCUAAGCAUGAAGCCCCCCUCAAGAUGAGAUUUCCCACAGUUUAGCUGGUAAGAUCCCUGAAAGAUGAUCAGGUUGAUAGGUCUGAGGUGGAAGCGUGGUGACACGUGGAGCUGACAGAUACUAAUAGAUCGAGGACUUAACCUU
rnacentral:rRNA from 1 species